AGAGUUUGAUCCUGGCUCAGGAUAAACGCUGGCGGCGCACAUAAGACAUGCAAGUCGAACGGAAGUCGUUAUAAAAAGGAUUGAAGAUUUAUCUGAUUGAGAUUUUAUAACAAUGGCUUUAGUGGCGGACUGGUGAGUAACGCGUGAGCAACCUGCCUACUAGAGGGGAAUAACAGUGAGAAAUCAUUGCUAAUACCGCAUAUGCCAUGAACAUCACAUGAUGAAAAUGGGAAAAGAGUAAUCUGCUAGUAGAUGGGCUCGCGUCUGAUUAGAUAGUUGGUGGGGUAACGGCCUACCAAGUCAACGAUCAGUAGCCGGACUGAGAGGUUGAACGGCCACAUUGGGACUGAGAUACGGCCCAGACUCCUACGGGAGGCAGCAGUCGGGAAUAUUGCGCAAUGGAGGAAACUCUGACGCAGUGACGCCGCGUAUAGGAAGAAGGUUUUCGGAUUGUAAACUAUUGUCGUUAGGGAAGAUAAAAGACAGUACCUAAGGAGGAAGCUCCGGCUAACUACGUGCCAGCAGCCGCGGU
rnacentral:rRNA from 1 species